rnacentral:rRNA from 1 species
UUUUCCGGUUGAUCCUGCCGGAGGCUACCGCUAUUGGAAUCCGAUUAAGCCAUGCGAGUCGAGAGAUUUCGGAUCUCGGCAGACGUCUCAGUAACACGUGGAUAAUCUGCCCUUGGGUGGGGGGAUAAUCUCGGUAACCUGAGCAUAAUACCCCAUAGGUCUAGGAUGCUGGAAUGCUUCUAGGCCCAAAGCUCCGGCGCCCAAGGAUGAGUCUGCGGCCUAUCAGGCUGUAGUGGGUGUAACGGACCCACUAACCUUCGACGGGUACGGGCCUUGAGAGAGGUUGCCCGGAGUUGGACUCUGAGACACGAGUCCAGGCCCUACGGGGUGCAGCAGGCGCGAAAACUUCACAAUGCGAGAAAUCGCGAUGAGGGGAUUCCAAGUGCCAGCACAUUGUGUUGGCUGUUCACCUGCCUAAAAAGCUGGUGAAGUAAGGGCCGGGUAAGACGGGUGCCAGCCGCCGCGGUAAUACCCGCGGCCCGAGUGGUGGCCACUGUUAUUGAGCCUAAAGCGUCCGUAGCCGGUCUAGUAAAUUUCUGGGUAAAUCGGGCGGCUUAACCGUCCGAAUUCCGGAAAGAAUGCUAGACUUGGGACCGGGAGAGGUUGGAGGUACUCCUGGGGUAGGGGUGAAAUCCUGUAAUCCUAGGGGGACCACCAGUGGCGAAGGCGUCCGACCAAAACGGCUCCGACGGUAAGGGACGAAGCCCUGGGGCGCAAACGGGAUUAGAUACCCCGGUAGUCCAGGGUGUAAACGCUGCAGGCUUGGUGUUGGGGGUCCUACGAGGGCGCCCAGUGCCGGAGAGAAGUUGUUAAGCCUGCCGCUUGGGGAGUACGUCCGCAAGGAUGAAACUAAAGGAAUGGCGGGGGCAGCACAGGCCAAGAGGCCGCGCUA